rnacentral:snoRNA from 15 species
GGGCAGACUCGUAGACCUUGCUUAACAGUGCUCAUAGCCAGGCGAGGGGGACAGUUGUGUGCAAGAGUGCUGUGAAUUUAAGCCAGCUCUAGCCACUGAUUAAACAUCAGUGGUUGGAUAAAUUGUAGUACUCUAACAUUC